rnacentral:rRNA from 1 species
AUUGAACGCUGGCGGCAGGCCUAACACAUGCAAGUCGAACGAGUGGCGGACGGGUGAAUAAUGUCUGUGAAACUGCCUGAUGGAGGGGGAUAACUACUGGAAACGGUAGCUAAUACCGCAUACCAUCCGAUUUGCCCAGAUGGGAUUAGCUAGUUGGUGGGGUAACGGCUCACAAAGGCGACGAGCCCUAGCCGGUCUGAGAGGAUGACCAGCCACACUGGAACUGAGACACGGUCCAGACUCCUACGUGAGGCAGCAGUGGGGAAUAUUGCACAAUGGGCGAAAGCCUGAUGCAGCCAUGCCGCGUGUAUGAAGAAGGCCUUCGGGUUGUAAAGUACUUUCAGUGGGGAGGCGUUACCCGAAGAAGAAGCACCGGCUAACUCCGUGCCAGCAGCCGCGGUAAUAC